rnacentral:tRNA from 1 species
CGCGGGGUGGAGCAGCCUGGUAGCUCGUCGGGCUCAUAACCCGAAGGUCGGGGGUUCAAAUCCCUCCCCCGCUACCA